UGAAUCCGGUAAUCGAUGGCCAUACGUCGUGUUGACAUUGAACACACGACGAGAAGGAGGAAUCGGGAGGCCGGCAGAGAGAUGGAUACUCUGGAAAAAGACGCCCUUAGAGUUUGAUCAUGGGUCAAAUUGAACGCUGGGGGCAGGCCUAACACAUGCAAGUCGAGCGGAUGACGGGAGCUUGCUCCUUGAUUCAGCGGCGGACGGGUGAGUAAUGCCUAGGAAUCUGCCUGGUAGUGGGGGACAACGUUUCGAAAGGAACGCUAAUACCGCAUACGUCCUACGGGAGAAAGCAGGGGACCUUCGGGCCUUGCGCUAUCAGAUGAGCCUAGGUCGGAUUAGCUUGUUGGUGAGGUAAUGGCUCACCAAGGCGACGAUCCGUAACUGGUCUGAGAGGAUGAUCAGUCACACUGGAACUGAGACACGGUCCAGACUCCUACGGGAGGCAGC
rnacentral:rRNA from 1 species